AGCGGCAACAGCUCAAAUUUGAAAUCUGGCCCUUUCAGGGUCCGAGUUGUAAUUUGUAGAGGGUGCUUUGGCGUCGGCCGUGGUCUAAGUUCCUUGGAACAGGACGUCACAGAGGGUGAGAAUCCCGUACGUGGCCGCCGGCCUUCGCCGUGUAAAGCCCCUUCGACGAGUCGAGUUGUUUGGGAAUGCAGCUCUAAAUGGGAGAUAAAUUUCUUCUAAAGCUAAAUAUUGGCCAGAGACCGAUAGCGCACAAGUAGAGUGAUCGAAAGAUGAAAAGCACUUUGGAAAGAGAGUCAAAAAGCACGUGAAAUUGUUGAAAGGGAAGCGCUUGCAGCCAGACGUGCCCGCAGUUGCUCACCCAGGCUCUCGCCUGGGGCACUCUUCUGCGGGCAGGCCAGCAUCAGUUCGGGCGGUUGGAUAAAGGCCUCUAUCACGUACCACCUCUCGGGGUGUCCUUAUAGGGGAGGCGCAACACGACCAGCCUGAACUGAGGACCGCGCAUCAGCUAGGAUGCUGGCGUAAUGGCUGUAAGCGGCCCGUCUUGAAACACGGACCAAGGAGUCUAACAUCUAUGCGAGUGUUUGGGUGUCAAGCCCGGGCGCGCAAUGAAAGUGAACGGAGGUGGGAACCCCUCGGGGUGCACCAUCGACCGAUCCUGAAGUCUUCGGAUGGAUUUGAGUAAGAGCAUAGCUGUUGGGACCCGAAAGAUGGUGAACUAUGCCUGAAUAGGGUGAAGCCAGGGGAAACCCUGGUGGAGGCUCGCAGCGGUUCUGACGUGCAAAUCGAUCGUCAAAUUUGGGCAUAGGG
rnacentral:rRNA from 1 species